GCAGUCGUAGCUCAGUGGUAGAGCACUUGCCUAGCAUGUGUGAGGCACUGGGUUUGAUUCUCAGCACCGCA
rnacentral:tRNA from 1 species